rnacentral:rRNA from 1 species
AUGGACAGAUUUAAUUGGAACUUUUUACCUGCUUCGGGGCACUCUGGCGGGAUCUUGAUAGGCUCCAAUAAAGAUAUUUUUGAUUUUGUUGCUUUUGAUCAUGGGAUCUUUUGGGCCAGUGUUGUUCUCUCUCAUAAAGCUCAGAAUACUCUUUGUGAGUUUAUCAUCGUCUAUGGGCAUGUGGACCAUUCCUUGUCGCCUUUAUUUCUUAAUGAACUUUCGUUGAAGAUCAAUGCUUGUAAUUUACCGAUGGUUAUCGGGGGAGACUUUAACCUUCUGCGAUGCCCUAAUGACAAAAGUAAUGAUAACUUCUCCUGGCCGCUGGCUAAUGCCUUUAACGACUUCAUUAGUGCCAAUGCUAUUCGUGAGCUGCCUCGGGGGGGAGCUCGUUAUACCUGGUCCAAUCAUCAGUCAAUCCCUAUUAGAUCAGUGCUUGACAGAGUCUUCCUU